rnacentral:rRNA from 1 species
GACGAACGCUGGCGGCGUGCUUAACACAUGCAAGUCGAACGGAAAGGCCCUGCUUUUGUGGGGUGCUCGAGUGGCGAACGGGUGAGUAACACGUGAGUAACCUGCCCUUGACUUUGGGAUAACUUCAGGAAACUGGGGCUAAUACCGGAUAGGAGCUCCUGCUGCAUGGUGGGGGUUGGAAAGUUUCGGCGGUUGGGGAUGGACUCGCGGCUUAUCAGCUUGUUGGUGGGGUAGUGGCUUACCAAGGCUUUGACGGGUAGCCGGCCUGAGAGGGUGACCGGCAACAUUGGGACUGGGAUACGGCCCAGACUCCUACGGGAGGCAGCGGUGGGGAAUAUUGAACAAGGGGCGGAAGCCGGAUGCAGCAACGCCGCGGGCGGGAUGACGGCCUUCGGGUUGUAAACCGCUUUCGCCGGGGACGAAGCGUGGGUGACGGUAAUGGGUAAAGAAGCACCGGCUAACUACGU